GGGACGAACGCUGGCGGCGCGCUUAACACAUGCAAGUCGAGCGAGAACCAGGGCUUCGGCCCUGGGGAAAGCGGCGAACGGGUGAGUAACACGUGAGUAACCUGUCCUCGGCACCGGGAUAGCCCGGGGAAACCCGGAUUAAUACCGGAUGGCCUUUCGAGUCUUCGGGCUCGUCAGAAAAGGUAGCUUCGGCCUCCGGCCGAGGAGGGACUCGCGGCGGAUUAGCUUGUUGGUGGGGUAACGGCUCACCAAGGCGACGAUCCGUAGCUGGUCUGAGAGGACGAUCAGCCACACUGGGACUGAGACACGGCCCAGACUCCUACGGAGCAGCAGUGGGAAUCUGCGCAAUGGGCGAAAGCCUGACGCAGCGACGCCGCGUGCGGGAAGAAGGCCUUCGGGUGUAAACCGCUUUCGAGGAGGGACGAAGCCGACGUCGGUUAAUAGCCCAGAGGUGACGGUACCUCCGAGAAGAAGCCCCGGA
rnacentral:rRNA from 1 species